AGAUGCCUAGCUGGUGUGAGAGCACGACCAGCGCCACUGGCACUGAGACACUGGCCAGACACCUACGGGUGGCUGCAGUCGAGAAUCUUCGGCAAUGAGCGCAAGCUUGACCGAGCGACGCCGCGUGCGGGAUGAAGGCCUUCGGGUUGUAAACCGCUGUCAGGGGGGAUCAAAACAAUGAGAGAUCCCCAGAGGAAGCACGGGCUAAGUUCGUGCCAGCAGCCGCGGUAAGACGAACCGUGCGAACGUUGUUCGGAAUCACUGGGCUUAAAGGGCGCGUAGGCGGCUUGCAUAGUCGGUGGUGAAAUCUUUCGGCUUAACCGGAAAAUUGCCUCCGAUACUAGUAGGCUCGAGCGAGGUAGGGGCAGAUGGAACUUCCGGUGGAGCGGUGAAAUGUGUUGAUAUCGGAAGGAACGCCGGUGGCGAAAGCGAUCUGCUGGACCUCUUCUGACGCUGAGGCGCGAAAGCCAGGGGAGCAAACGGGAUUAGAUACCCCGGUAGUCCUGGCCUUAAACGAUGGGUACUGAGUAGUGGACUUACAUGGGUUCACUGC
rnacentral:rRNA from 1 species